GAUGAACGCUGGCGGCGUGCCUAAUACAUGCAAGUCGAGCGAACGGACGAGAAGCUUGUUUCUCUGGUGUUAGCGGCGGACGGGUGAGUAACACGUGGAUAACCUACCUAUAAGACUGGGAUAACUUCGGGAAACCGGAGCUAAUACCGGAUAAUAUCUUUAACCGCAUGGUUCAAAAGUGAAAGACGGUCUUGCUGUCACUUAUAGAUGGAUCCGCGCUGCUUUAGCUAGUGGGUAAGGAAACGGCUUACCAAGGCAACGAUGCAUAGCCGACCGGAGAGGGGGACCGGCAACACUGGAAUGGAGACACGGCCAAGAUCCCAAGGGGAGGAAGCAGAGGGGAAUCUUCGGCAAUGGGGGAAAGCCUGACGGGGCAAGGCGGCGUGGUGGAGGAAGUUCUUCGGAUCGUAAACCCCUGUUAUAGGGGAAGAAGAUAGGUGGAAGGAACUGUGCACAUCGUGACGGUACCUAAUCAGAAAGCCACGGCUAACUACGUG
rnacentral:rRNA from 1 species